UCAUGAGGCAAGAGCUGCGGGUCCAGGAUCCAGGACCAAGAGGACUUGCCCAGCACCUCCAGAGGCAGCAAGAAAACAGCCAGCUCCAGGGACUCAGCAGGGAAACUCAAGAUUAUAGUAAAUGAAUGACAGCAGUUCAAGAAUCGCUUCCUCCUGUGGUACCUUCCGGAGGACGAAGGUAAAAAUCACCCAGAUACAGGGGUGAUUGAGGAGGUAUUCAGAGCCUCAGCAUUAGUGGCGACCACAGAGGAGUUGAGGACUUAAGAUCUUACGGGAAAGAUAAGAUUUGUCAUCGCUUCCCAUUUUCAAGUGCUUCUGAGUACCAUGUGCAUUGGGGAACUGAAAAAGGAGCCUGUCUGUACUUGAGAGCGGGCCCCUCCAACACUGCGGUCAGCUCACACGUGGUCUGCAGUGUUCAUCUUUCGAUGGAAAUGUGGCUGGUCUCUCCGGAGGUUGGGAGGCAAGACGCUGGCCCUUCCGGGCUGGAAGGGUGUCAAGAUCAGCUCUUCCUUGUGCAUGACUUGCAGCAUUGUUUGCCGUAAAAUUUGUGGUUGCAGACACCAUGCUGAGGAACAAGAUGACACCAGCCGAAGAAAUCUACACAGGAUGGAUCCUCUAAGAUAAGAAAGGAGAAAGAGCAGAGGAGAGAAAAUUGAUGCCUGGAGCUAAGGCUACAAGAAGGAGAUAAACAACAACAUCAAUUUAGAGACAGGAAGUGGUCUGGACAGUGAAGAGGAAGUGAGUAACAGGCCUGAACCUGAUUCACCACAAAUUGGAAAACCUGGGGAGCUGGACAAAAGUUUGUAUUACAGGCUCGUAGCACUGGAGGUUUCUGCCGGAGCAGACAACUGGAGGAAGGCCGGCCCUGCUGAACACAGUGGACUGAUCGGGUCUGGACCCCUCCUCCACAGGUCACCGUGCACUGCAGAAAAGGGAAAAGAGGAAGGAGUCAGGAACAAUCGGGAUGGUGUCCUGCCUGAUGUCAGUGACAUCAAAUAAAAGGAAUCCCCAUGCUUCAUGACAUUGCCAAGAUGCCUGUCCAUAAAAUAGGGAUUGUCCAGAGCCAGGCACAAUGUGCUCGUGGCCCACUGAGUCUCUUCUAACACGUGGGAGCCAUGUGAUCUGAUUAGAAGGCUCUUAAGCAAAUGCAAUCUAUCUCCCCCAAGAGUGUGUGUCUCCUAGUUAAAUGACUCAUAAAGAAGAGAGCUUCCAGAAAUACAGAAGCUGCUGUAAGAAGGCAGAAACAAAUAGAGACACAUCUAGGCAAUUCAUCACAGUAUUUAAAGAAUUCCAGGCAAUCUCUGCAGAUACGAUAGUGGAGGGGAUAGUUCAAAACUUGGACAGCGAAAGAAAUAACUCUCCGAGACAGCUUUGGAAUUAUGCCCUCUGUGCCCAGCCGAAUUCUGGGUUAGCAUGGUGGAUAUGGUGCUUCCUAGAAGUCAAUUAUUUCACUGUCCAACUAAAGUUAAAAAAA